rnacentral:rRNA from 1 species
GAUCAUGGCUCAGGAUGAACGCUAGCUACAGGCUUAACACAUGCAAGUCGUGGGGCAGCAUGGGAGAUGCUUGCAUUUCCCGAUGGCGACCGGCGCACGGGCGAGUAACGCGUAUCCAACCUGCCCUUCACUCCGGCACAGCCCGUCGAAAGGCGGAUUAAUGCGGGAUGCAGUCAGAAAGAUGCAUAUUAAUUUGACGAAAGGCCUUCGGGCCGGUGAGGGAUGGGGA